GCUUCGAUAGCUCAGUUGGUAGAGUGGAGGACUGUCAAUCCUUAGUUUGCUGGUUCAAAUCCAGCUUGAAAAA